UAGGGAAUCUUCCGCAAUGGGCGAAAGCCUGACGGAGCAACGCCGCGUGAGUGAUGAAGGUCUUCGGAUCGUAAAACUCUGUUAUUAGGGAAGAACAAAUGUGUAAGUAACUAUGCACGUCUUGACGGUACCUAAUCAGAAAGCCACGGCUAACUACGUGCCAGCAGCCGCGGUAAUACGUAGGUGGCAAGCGUUAUCCGGAAUUAUUGGGCGUAAAGCGCGCGUAGGCGGUUUUUUAAGUCUGAUGUGAAAGCCCACGGCUCAACCGUGGAGGGUCAUUGGAAACUGGAAAACUUGAGUGCAGAAGAGGAAAGUGGAAUUCCAUGUGUAGCGGUGAAAUGCGCAGAGAUAUGGAGGAACACCAGUGGCGAAGACGACAUUCUGGUCUAUAACUGACGCUGAUGUGCGAAAGCGUGGGGAUCAAACAGG
rnacentral:rRNA from 1 species